UCGUGGAUCAAUGAAUCCCUUCAGGGGUGGAUUAAGUAGGUGAACGGGUGAGUAACACGUGGGCAAUCUGCCCUUCACUCUGGGACAAGCCCUGGAAACGGGGUCUAAUACCGGAUACGACCUGCCUCCGCAUGGGGGUGGGUGGAAAGCUCCGGCGGUGAAGGAUGAGCCCGCGGCCUAUCAGCUUGUUGGUGGGGUAAUGGCCUACCAAGGCGACGACGGGUAGCCGGCCUGAGAGGGCGACCGGCCACACUGGGACUGAGACACGGCCCAGACUCCUACGGGAGGCAGCAGUGGGGAAUAUUGCACAAUGGGCGAAAGCCUGAUGCAGCGACGCCGCGUGAGGGAUGACGGCCUUCGGGUUGUAAACCUCUUUCAGCAGGGAAGAAGCGCAAGUGACGGUACCUGCAGAAGAAGCGCCGGCUAACUACGUGCCAGCAGCCGCGGUAAUACGUAGGGCGCAAGCGUUGUCCGGAAUUAUUGGGCGUAAAGAGCUCGUAGGCGGCUUGUUGCGUCGGAUGUGAAAGCCCGGGGCUUAACCCCGGGUCUGCAUUCGAUACGGGCAGGCUAGAGUGUGGUAGGG
rnacentral:rRNA from 2 species